rnacentral:rRNA from 1 species
GAUGAACGCUGGCGGCGUGCCUAAUACAUGCAAGUCGAGCGAACAGACGAGGAGCUUGCUCCUCUGACGUUAGCGGCGGACGGGUGAGUAACACGUGGAUAACCUACCUAUAAGACUGGGAUAACUUCGGGAAACCGGAGCUAAUACCGGAUAAUAUAUUGAACCGCAUGGUUCAAUAGUGAAAGACGGUUUUGCUGUCACUUAUAGAUGGAUCCGCGCCGCAUUAGCUAGUUGGUAAGGUAACGGCUUACCAAGGCAACGAUGCGUAGCCGACCUGGGAGGGUGAUCGGCCACACUGGAACUGAGACACGGUCCAGACUCCUACGGGAGGCAGCAGUAGGGAAUCUUCCGCAAUGGGCGAAAGCCUGACGGAGCAACGCCACGUGAGUGAUGAAGGUCUUCGGAUCGUAAAACUCUGUUAUUAGGGAAGAACAAAUGUGUAAGUAACUAUGCACGUCUUGACGGUACCUAAUCAGAAAGCCACGGCUAACUGCGUG